GAUGAACGCUGGCGGCGUGCCUAAUACAUGCAAGUCGAGCGAACAGACGAGGAGCUUGCUCCUCUGACGUUAGCGGCGGACGGGUGAGUAACACGUGGAUAACCUACCUAUAAGACUGGGAUAACUUCGGGAAACCGGAGCUAAUACCUGAUAACAUGUUGAACCGCAUGGUUCAACAGUGAAAGACGGUCUUGCUGUCACUUCUAGAUGGACCCGCGCCGCAUUAGCUAGUUGGUAAGGUAACGGCUUACCAAGGCAACGAUGCGUAGCCGACCUGAGAGGGUGAUCGGCCACACUGGAACUGAGACACGGUCCAGACUCCUACGGGAGGCAGCAGUAGGGAAUCUUACGCAAUGGGCGAAAGCCUGACGGAGCAACGCCGAGUGAGUGAUGAAGGUCUUCGGAUCGUAAAACUCUGUUAUUAGGGAAGAACAAAUGUGUAAGUAACUAUGCACGUCUUGACGGUACCUAAUCAGAAAGCCACGGCUAACUACGU
rnacentral:rRNA from 1 species